GCCGAUAUAGCUCAGCUGGUAGAGCGGCGCAUUCGUAAUGCGUAGGUCGCAGGUUCAAAUCCUGUUGUCGGCUCCA
rnacentral:tRNA from 4 species